UACGUAGGGUCCGAGCGUUGUCCGGAAUUACUGGGCGUAAAGAGCUCGUAGGUGGUUUGUCGCGUUGUUCGUGAAAACUCACAGCUCAACUGUGGGCGUGCGGGCGAUACGGGCAGACUUGAGUACUGCAGGGGAGACUGGAAUUCCUGGUGUAGCGGUGGAAUGCGCAGAGUAUCAGGAGGAACACCGGUGGCGAAGGCGGGUCUCUGGGCAUGUCCUGACGGCUGGAGGAGCGGAAAGUGUCGGGGAGCGAACAGG
rnacentral:rRNA from 1 species